rnacentral:lncRNA from 1 species
AUGGGAUUGAUUGAGCGGGAAACACCAGAUUCAUUAAAACGCGCUCUCCUCGACGGUGUGCUUUAUUUUUAGACUCCUGCAGAUUAAAAACACACACCCAAUGGAGGAUUACAGAGCUGAAUGGAGAAAGGAGAAGAUGCCAGAGCCGAUUAUUUCAGAACAAACUGCUGGAAUCGUGUGAGGGGUCGAUGUGAAAAGCGAGGAGCUUCUCGGAGUGCUGGUUGUUGAGGGUUCGCAGGUCGGGCAGACGCAGCAGGAGUUUGGGGAAGAGCGAGCUGUCCUCUGGCCUUCUGCGGGUGAUGAGAGCCCGAAGAGCUCCUAUUAAAUCCUCCUGGAGCUGCUCCACGGCCCCCAUGUCUGAUAUACCUGAGCGAUCUGGAGCAGAGUAAAAUCAUACCACUUGGAACUGAACAUACCUGCAGAAACCAGCACCACAGCCAUGAAGAGGGCCAUCUCGUCGGCCUCCAGACCCAUGCUGCCCAGCUUCUCGCUGAACUCAAACAUGGCAUCCAGGAGGUUUCCCAUGCCCAGCACUCGCAGAUGAAUGCUUUUUAAGGGCUCCGAGCUCAGUGAAGGACACCUCCUCUGGGGACGAGGGCUGAGAGGAUGGAGAUUGGGUCUGAUAGCCGCUGGAUGGACUUCCUGG